UACGAGGGGGGCGAGCGUUGUUCGGAAUUAUUGGGCGUAAAGGGUGCGUAGGCGGUUUGGUAAGUCUUAUGUGAAAUCUAUGGGCUCAACUCAUAGACUGCAUGAGAAACUGCCGGGCUUGAGUAUGGGAGAGGUGAGUGGAAUUCCCAGUGUAGAGGUGAAAUUCGUAGAUAUUGGGAAGAACACCGGUGGCGAAGGCGGCUCUCUGGACCGUAACUGACGCUGAGGCGCGAAAGCGUGGGGAGCGAACAGG
rnacentral:rRNA from 1 species